CGCAGCCUACGGGACGCAGCAGUAGGGAAUCUUCCACAAUGGACGAAAGUCUGAUGGAGCAACGCCGCGUGAGUGAAGAAGGGUUUCGGCUCGUAAAGUCCUGUUGAAGGGGAAAAAGAGCGGAGAGAGGAAAUGGUCUCCGAUUGAUAUUACCCUUCGAGGAAGUCACGGCUAACUACGUGCCAGCAGCCGCGGGAAUACGUAGGUGGCGAGCGGUAUCCGGAAUGAUUGGGCGUAAAGGGGGCGUAGGCGGCCUGCUAAGUCUGGAGUGAAAGGGACCGGCUCAACCGGUACAG
rnacentral:rRNA from 1 species